GAAAGGUUGGCUAAACUGUUGAUAUUUAUAGCAGAUUUUGUUGCUUAGUUUAUGUUUCAGUCUUCUUGUAACAUUGUGACAUAGGUGAUGUCUGUUCUUUCACCUCCAAUCAUUUGUAACUUAGUUAAUGGUUGAAACAUUUAGAAACAGAAUAAGGUCAUUGGUUGGUAUUUAUUUAGUAAUAAGGGCUUUUCGAAGUCUUGGCG
rnacentral:misc_RNA from 1 species